GGCAGCAUUUUAGUUUGCUUGCAAACUGAAGAUGGCGACCGGCGCACGGGUGAGUAACACGUAUCCAACCUGCCGAUAACUCCGGGAUAGCCUUUCGAAAGAAAGAUUAAUACCGGAUGGCAUACGAAUAUCGCAUGAUAUUUUUAUUAAAGAAUUUCGGUUAUCGAUGGGGAUGCGUUCCAUUAGUUUGUUGGCGGGGUAACGGCCCACCAAGACUACGAUGGAUAGGGGUUCUGAGAGGAAGGUCCCCCACAUUGGAACUGAGACACGGUCCAAACUCCUACGGGAGGCAGCAGUGAGGAAUAUUGGUCAAUGGGCGAGAGCCUGAACCAGCCAAGUAGCGUGAAGGAUGAAGGCUCUAUGGGUCGUAAACUUCUUUUAUAUGGGAAUAAAGUUUUCCACGUGUGGAAUUUUGUAUGUACCAUAUGAAUAAGGAUCGGCUAACUCCGUGCCAGCAGCCGCGGUAAUACGGAGGAUCCGAGCGUUAUCCGGAUUUAUUGGGUUUAAAGGGAGCGUAGGUGGAUUGUUAAGUCAGUUGUGAAAGUUUGCGGCUCAACCGUAAAAUUGCAGUUGAAACUGGGAGUCUUGAGUACAGUAGAGGUGGGCGGAAUUCGUGGUGUAGCGGUGAAAUGCUUAGAUAUCACGAAGAACUCCGAUUGCGAAGGCAGCUCACUAGACUGUCACUGACACUGAUGCUCGAAAGUGUGGGUAUC
rnacentral:rRNA from 1 species